rnacentral:rRNA from 2 species
GNGGCCUAACACAUGCAAGUCGAGCGGUAGCACAGAGAGCUUGCUCUCGGGUGACGAGCGGCGGACGGGUGAGUAAUGUCUGGGAAACUGCCUGAUGGAGGGGGAUAACUACUGGAAACGGUAGCUAAUACCGCAUAANGUCGCAAGACCAAAGUGGGGGACCUUCGGGCCUCAUGCCAUCAGAUGUGCCCAGAUGGGAUUAGCUAGUAGGUGGGGUAANGGCUCACCUAGGCGACGAUCCCUAGCUGGUCUGAGAGGAUGACCAGCCACACUGGAACUGAGACACGGUCCAGACUCCUACGGGAGGCAGCAGUGGGGAAUAUUGCACAAUGGGCGCAAGCCUGAUGCAGCCAUGCCGCGUGUGUGAAGAAGGCCUUCGGGUUGUAAAGCACUUUCAGCGGGGAGGAAGGCGNUNAGGUUAAUAACCUUGNCGAUUGACGUUACCCGCAGAAGAAGCACCGGCUAACUCCGUGCCAGCAGCCGCGGUAAUACGGAGGGUGCAAGCGUUAAUCGGAAUUACUGGGCGUAAAGCGCACGCAGGCGGUCUGUCAAGUCGGAUGUGAAAUCCCCGGGCUCAACCUGGGAACUGCAUUCGAAACUGGCAGGCUAGAGUCUUGUAGAGGGGGGGUAGAAUUCCAGGUGUAGCGGUGAAAUGCGUAGAGAUCUGGAGGAAUACCGGUGGCGAAGGCGGCCCCCUGGACAAAGACUGACGCUCAGGUGCGAAAGCGUGGGGAGCAAACAGGAUUAGAUACCCUGGUAGUCCACGCCGUAAACGAUGUCGAUUUGGAGGUUGUGCCCUUGAGGCGUGGCUUCCGGAGCUAACGCGUUAAAUCGACCGCCUGGGGGAGUACGGCCGCAAGGUUAAAACUCAAAUGAAUUGACGGGGGCCCGCACAAGCGGUGGAGCAUGUGGUUUAAUUCGAUGCAACGCGAAGAACCUUACCUGGGUCUUGACAUCCACAGAACUUUCCAGAGAUGGAUUGGUGCCUUCGGGAACUGUGAGACAGGUGCUGCAUGGCUGUCGUCAGCUCGUGUUGUGAAAUGUUGGGUUAAGUCCCGCAACGAGCGCAACCCUUAUCCUUUGUUGCCAGCGGUUAGGCCGGGAACUCAAAGGAGACUGCCAGUGAUAAACUGGAGGAAGGUGGGGAUGACGUCAAGUCAUCAUGGCCCUUACGACCAGGGCUACACACGUGCUACAAUGGCAUAUACAAAGAGAAGCGACCUCGCGAGAGCAAGCGGACCUCAUAAAGUAUGUCGUAGUCCGGAUUGGAGUCUGCAACUCGACUCCAUGAAGUCGGAAUCGCUAGUAAUCGUAGAUCAGAAUGCUACGGUGAAUACGUUCCCGGGCCUUGUACACACCGCCCGUCACACCAUGGGAGUGGGUUGCAAAAGAAGUAGGUAGCUUAACCUUCGGGAGGGCGC